rnacentral:rRNA from 1 species
ACAAAGAAGAGUUUGAUCCUGGCUCAGGACGAACGCUGGCGGCGUGCCUAACACAUGCAAGUCAAGGGGAAAGGUUUCUUCGGAGACCGAUUACACUGGCGGACGGGUGAGUAACGCGUAGGCAACCUGCCCUCAAGCUUGGGAUAACCUCUGGAAACGGGGGCUAAUACCGGAUGUGGUUUUGAUGUUGCAUAGCAUUAAGAUUAAAGCUGGGUUUCUAGCACUUGAGGAUGGGCCUGCGUUCCAUUAGCUAGUUGG